GUGAGCGGCCGGGGACUUCGAUGAGACUCCGAGCUGAGCCGGGAGCGCGGGGGAGCGUCUCCCUCCGGUGUUGAGUCCUGAGGAGAGCGGCGGAGGCCCGCGCGGAUGUGAGCAGGAAUGGAGAGAAGCCACAGCGGGACUGAUCCUGAUGGUGUGAUGCGCAUAGAGGGGAGCUGUGCGGGGUUAGCAGUGCCAGAGAUCCUCCUUUAAAAAGGAGUCCUGCUUAUACUUCAGUAUCGUUGGGAUAGCCAGAGCAGCUGCCAGCGUUUUCAGGGAGCCGGACUGCUGCUGCAGCGCUUCCUGCCUGAAGAGCGGCUGGAAGCGGAGUCGGGUAUCGCAGUCCCCCGCUGGGGACGGGGUGCUUCGGCAGGCGCUGGAAGUCUGCGCUGCUGCUAAGUGUGCCGAGGGCUGCGUGCUGCCCGGCUCACCGCGCUGCCCCGGGGUCACUGCUGCCGGAGUGGGACACGCAGCUGUCCGGGAGGAGCCGAGUCCGCCCCGUGCAGCGCUGCGGGGCUCCAGGUGGAGCAGGAGGCCUCAGCGGGCUGCUGCUUCUCUCCCCGAGCAAUGACUCCUAACGAAGAACUUUUUAAGCCCCGCUUAUGGCACUGAGAGCAUUUCUGGGGAGCUCUGCUGCGACCUCACCCCCAGGAGGAGGAGACAGGAAAAUGAACCGAGCCUUUAGCCACGGAGCCUCAGUGCGUGCGGAGCAGUGCUGAGCUCCAUAGGAGCCCCAUUUCUCCGCACCCCGCGGUGGAGCGGCCGAAACGCACCGAAAACGAUCGGAACUGCAUUCUCUCGUGGGAGAACGCUUCCAACGCUCCCCAGAAACCACACCGAAGC
ensembl:lncRNA